rnacentral:rRNA from 1 species
AGGGUGUAAACGCUGCAGACUUGGUGUUGGGAACCCUUCGGGGGUGCUCAGUGCCGGAGAGAAGUUGUUAAGUCUGCUACUUGGGGAGUACGUCCGCAAGGAUGAAACUUAAAGGAAUUGGCGGGGGAGCACCGCAACGGGAGGAGCGUGCGGUUUAAUUGGAUUCAACGCCGAAAAACUCACCAGCAGCGACUGUUACAUGAAAGCCGAGAUGAAGACUCUGCUAGAUUUUCAGAGAGGUGGUGCAUGGCGUCAGUGACU